AUGAUGAUGAACUUCAGGGACUGGAUCUCAUACCGGCUCGGGUCGUCGCUGCUGUCGGCGAGGCCGUUCGCCAUCUCCGGGUCCGGCGCCGGCGCCUCCCAGGGCGAUGGGGAAGGUACAACACAAAGUGAGUUUGUAGAAACCGUAUCCGCCAACAGAUUUCCUUCCAAUGAUAGCCGUGCACUAGAGGUCGUCACAUCCAACCCACAGGAUGCUGUUUCCUCUGGUCUUCUUCAGCCAGAUCAUGAUCACAACAAGUCAGAUCCACUAAAGCAAGUUGAGGCACUUCAAAUUAAGUUUUUGCGGCUGGUACACAGGACUGGAGUGCCUCCCAGUACCAAUGUAGUUGCACAGGUACUGUACAGACUGCAGCUUGCCAACUUGAUCAAGGCUGGUGAAUCAGAUGCGAAGAGAACUAACCUUGCUAUCAACAAAGCCAGAGUUAUAGCAGCAGAACAAGAAGCACCCGGUGGACCUGAUUUGGACCUCCCCUUGCGAAUUCUUCUUCUGGGAAAGACUGGUGUGGGAAAGAGCGCCACAAUAAACUCCAUGUUUGAUGAAACAAAGGUUGCUACUAAUGCACUUGUUCCUGGUACUAGUAGGAUAAAGAGGGUUCAUGGAAAUAUCAAAGGAGUAAGAGUUACAGUUAUCGACACACCUGGUCUGGUACCUCAUUACCAUAGCCAACGGAGGAACAGGAAGAUUUUGCAUGCUGUCAAGCGUUUCAUUAAAAGAAACCCGCCUGAUAUCGUCCUGUACUUUGAGCGGCUUGACCAUAUUAAUAGCAGAUGCAGUGACUACCCUCUGCUGAAGCUUAUAACUGAUACCUUGGGUUCUUCGAUAUGGUUCAACACUGUCCUUGUAAUGACUCACUGUUCCUCAUCUCCUCCUGAAGGACCAGAUGGUCAUCCUUUGGAAUAUGACGCGUACACCCGUUACUGUAAGAAUGUCGUGGAGCGUCAUAUCCAGCUAGCAGCUUCUAACACACAGCUGGAGAACCCUAUUGUUCUGGUUGACAAUCAUCCAAUGUGCAGACGGAACACCAGGGGUGAAAGAGUUUUGCCAAAUGGGCAGGUAUGGGUAUCAGAACUUCUUUUGCUGUGUGGGGCGACCAAGUUGUUAGCAGAAGCAAAUUCCUUACUAAAGUUCGAAAAUAGUUUUCUGCUGUCACAAGCAAAUGCCAGGCUGCCUUCACUCCCUCAUCUUCUUUCGUCACUCCUUAAACCUUCUGCGUCAUUGAGUUCUGAGGGUGUUGACAAUGAGAUGACUGAGCUAUCAGAUGAGGAGGAUGAAUAUGAUCAGCUACCACCUUUCCGUGUUCUAAAAAGAUCUGAAUAUGAAAAGUUGACCAAAGAACAGAGAACUGCAUAUCUUGAUGAACUGGACUACCGUGAGACUUCAUACCUCAAACAGCAGUGGAAGGAGGGAAUCCGGAGUCAAAAGCUUGCUGAAGCUCAAAACAGCGAAGCAUCAUCUGCAGUUGCUGAUGAUUAUGAAGAGACCACAUCCCCAGUUGUGCACAUAUCAGAUAUGGAAAUCCCAUUAAGUUUUGACUCUGAUUAUCCAGCACACCGCUACCGUCACAUUAUAACUAAUGAUCAGUUGUUUAGACCAGUUUUGGAUCCCCAAGGAUGGGACCAUGAUAUUGGGUUCGAUGGUAUCAAUUUUCAAUCAUGUCAUGACUUAAAAAAGAACAUAUCAACAUCUAUUGCUGGACAGAUGAGGAAGGACAAAGAAGACAUGUAUAUCCAGUCGGAUUGUUCAGUAAGCUAUAGUGAUCAAAGGCGCUACUCAUUGAUGGGGGGCAUGGAUAUGCAAACAGCUAGUAAGGAUUUGGUUUUUACUGUUCAUGGGGAUGCCCGGUUCCAAAAUCUGCCUUGGAACACCACCGGAGGAGGUAUUUCUGUUACUAAAUUCGGGUCAAAGUAUUUUUCUGGGGCCAAAUUAGAAGACUCCAUCACCAUUGGGAAACGAGUCCACUUGGUAGCCAAUGCCGGGAGGAUGGUUGGUGGUGGACAAGUGGCAGAUGGAGGUGGCCUGGAAGUAACAGUAAGGGGGAAAGACUACCCUGUGAGAGAAGGGAGCACCAGCAUGGCGGCCACUGCUCUGUCGUUCGAGAAAGAGACUGUAUUCGGGGCGAAUCUUCAGUCUGUCUUACGAGUGGGCCGUGGGUCAAAAUUAUCGGUCAGCGCAAACGUAAACAGCAGAAAUCUAGGCCGGCUCUGUGUCAAGAUCAGCACAUCAGACCAUGUGGAAAUAGCUCUGGUCGUGGCCGUAUCACUGGUCCAGUUCUUGCUAAGGAGAAGAUUGCUGCCGACUGGCAAAGGCCACCAACAGGUUGACACCGACUUAGAUGAGUAA
rnacentral:rRNA from 1 species